rnacentral:rRNA from 1 species
GACGAACCGUGCGAACGUUAUUCGGAAUCAUUGGGCUUAAAGGGCGCGUAGGCGGGCGACCGCGUCGAGUGCUGAAAGCCCCCGGCUCAACCGGGGAACGGGCCUCGAUACGGGUCGCCUCGAGGCGAGGAGGGGGACCUGGAACUUCCGGUGGAGCGGUGAAAUGCGUUGAGAUCGGAAGGAACGCCGACGGCGAAAGCAAGGUCCUGGACUCGUCCUGACGCUGAGGCGCGAAAGCCAGGGGAGCGAACGGG